UACGUAGGGUGCGAGCGUUAAUCGGAAUUACUGGGCGUAAAGCGUGCGCAGGCGGUUCUCCAAGUCCGUUGUGAAAGCCCCGGGCUCAACCUGGGAAUGGCAGUGGAAACUAGGGGACUUGAAUCUGGCAGAGGGGGGUGGAAUUCCACGUGUAGCAGUGAAAUGCGUAGAGAUGUGGAGGAACACCGAUGGCGAAGGCAGCCCCCUGGGCUGAGAUUGACGCUCAGGCACGAAAGCGUGGGGAGCGAACAGG
rnacentral:rRNA from 1 species